rnacentral:misc_RNA from 1 species
CUUUCGGCGGGAUUUUCCUCAGACUGUCCGAACGGAACAAUCAAGGCAUGAAGAUCAUGCCCGAAAAUUCAGUGUCCGCCCUUUUGCUGACCCUGCUGGCCGGGCUUCUGGUUUGGAUCCUGCUGCUGCUGGCCCGGCUUUUGGCCGCCGCCCUGCUGCUGCUGACCCGGCUUCUGGCUGGGAUUCUGGCUCUGCUGGCCUGGGUUCUGGUUCGGAUUG